GACAGAGGGUGCAAGCGUUGUUCGGAAUCAUUGGGCGUAAAGGGCGCGUAGGCGGUUUUGUAAGUCGAAUGUGAAAGCCCAGGGCUCAACCUUGGAAGUGCAUCCGAAACUGCGAAACUUGAAUCCUGGAGAGGGUGGUGGAAUUCCCAGUGUAGAGGUGAAAUUCGUAGAUAUCAGGAAGAACACCCGUGGCUAAGGCGGCUCUCUAGUACGUGACUGACGCUGAGACGCGAAAGCGUGGGGAGCGAACAGG
rnacentral:rRNA from 1 species